rnacentral:SRP_RNA from 1 species
GCCGGGAGUGGUGGUGUACUCCUGUAAUCCAACUACUUGGAGGCUUGGUACUGAGGAUGUUUUAGGGGAGGGUUCUGAGAUUGGAUUUCCAUGUUGACUAAUCGUCUGCUAGAGGUAAACCUUCAACUUGGAUGGCUUGGGGGAGCUUGGAGUGGCCAGGUUGAGUCUGAAAAAAGCAAAAGUUACAGAAUUGAGAGUCGUGGGUUCAAAUCUUGGGGUGGGAGUUCAAUUUCUUAACGAGAACAGACCUGUACCUAC